UACGGAGGAUGCAAGCGUUAUCCGGAAUUAUUGGGCGUAAAGCGUCCGUAGGUGGCUAUUCAAGUCAGUUGUUAAAGCGUGGGGCUUAACUCCAUAAAGGCAAAUGAAACUGAUUAGCUAGAGUGCGAUAGGGGCAAGGGGAAUUUCCAGUGUAGCGGUGAAAUGCGUAGAUAUUGGAAAGAACACCGGUGGCGAAAGCGCCUUGCUGGGUCUGCACUGACACUGAGGGACGAAAGCUAGGGGAGCAAACAGG
rnacentral:rRNA from 1 species